UUCAGCAACACUGGAGCUGUGCUGCGGGCUUCAUAAACAUUACACACACACACAGAGAGAGAGACAGAGACAGAGAGAGAGAGAGAAAGCGCAUUAAAAUGCUGCAGACGUCUACUCCAGAACAGAGGCGCGCGCUCCGGAAACCGACAGGCCCACUGACGUCAGCGGGGGUCCCGUCUCCGCCUCCCGACCGGAGGAAGUGCAGCCAGGGGGGUUCGCGACUGACGUCAGAGAAAGUCCUCGUUCUCGUAGUUUUUUUGGUCAUUCACGCGUCAGUGCUUAGAUUUGUAGAGUAGUGUGUGCUGUGACGCAGGACAUGAGCGGCGCUGCCAGCAGUGUGAUCUGUGAGCGGCUAGAGAGUGUCGCUGCUCGCGCUCCCCCCUGGCACUGGCCCCUCCUGCACAUAGCUCAGGACUGGCGGUUUUCCCGGAGGUUCCUUGUUGUCAGGUCACGUUGUGUCCCUCAACUAGUGCCCGGGCUUUCCCUUCCACACCUCACACAAAACAACAGCCUCCACCACAACCUCCACCACCACAACCACCUGCACCACAAAGUCCAAGCUGCAGCCCAGGCCCAUCUGCUCAUCUGCCCAUCUGCUGGCACUGACUGAUGCUGAAGCAGAUAUGAGCAGGAUCUGAGAAAUUACACAAAAACAUCAGGGGGACUGUUUAAGCAGCCUUUAAAAAAAGUUCAUGCUCAUUGCAAAUUCGAGCUUCACAGGAAUGUACUGGUUUUUCAGCUCUAUUAAGAUUUUAUAGAAAUUUCCACCGGGACAGACAGAUACCUCAAACUGCAGUGACAAAGAAAAGAGAAAAAGAAACCACUAACCAGUCAAUCGAAUCUAAUCCGAAGCGUGUAGGACCUGAUAGAUACACACACACACACACACACACACACACACACUGUACUGUUGUGCAGUGAUAUUACACACACACACACACACACACACACACACACACACUGUACUGUUGUGCAGUGAUAUUACACACACACACACACACACUGUAACGUUGUGCAGUGAUAUUACACACACACACACACACACACACACACACUGUAACGUUGUGCAGUGAUAUUACACACACACACACACUGUAACGUUGUGCAGUGAUAUUACACACACACACACACACACACACACACACUGUAACGUUGUGCAGUGAUAUUACACACACACACACACUGUAACGUUGUGCAGUGAUAUUACACACACACACACACACACACACACUGUAACGUUGUGCAGUGAUAUUACACACACACACACACACACACACACUGUACUGUUGUGCAGUGAUAUUACACACACACACACACACACACACACACUGUAACGUUGUGCAGGGUCAUCGGGUGCUUUAAACUGAGACAUCACGGGAAUCUCGUCUAGCUAUUUGGCCCAUUUUUCAUUUUUUCCCUUAUCAUGUCAUCCUAAGGAUAUACGCCAAAAGUUUAAACCAGAGGUAAAGCUCGAGAACCUUAAGUAAGGUUAGCCAAGCUAGAUCGCUAGUCUUAUAUUUUAGAUAUCAGACUAAAUAACCCACCUAGUUUCCUUUUGGGCUGGGGUUUUGGGUUCUCAUUGUCCAACGUGAGCAGCUUCUUGUUGUGUAAUUUGAUAUCCUAUGUUCUUCCUUGAACUAAACUGAAGUAAACGAAAAUAAACAAUUUUAUUUUCUUAGGAUUUUAAACUUUUUUUAAACAUAUUUGAGAUGCAUCACUGGCAAUGAAGGAGUUAAAACAGUAGUAUAACUGCAACAAGGCAGUGGUGAUUUUUACAGUAAUGUACUGUUAGCAAUAUGUAGUCCUGUAAAAGUACAGUUUUGUACUCUAUUUAAAAUAGCAGUAAAUAGUGCUGUUAUUGUAAACAAAUAU